rnacentral:snRNA from 1 species
AAAUAUGAGGGCAAUCUGCUGCAACAUCUGUCACCCCAUUGAUCACCAGGGUUGAUUUGGCUGAUCUGGCUGGCUCAGUGGGUGUCUCCUUUCUCCCUCACUGCUCCAUGUGCAUCCCUCCCAAAGCUGUGUGAUCAUCCCUGAUAAAGGAUGAACAUUCUUUGGUCAAGGGUAUACGAGUAGCUGCACUCCUCUGCUAGAACCUCCAAACAAGUUCUCAAAACAAUACAUCCAUUGAACAUCUAAUGAAAAUACACAUAGGUGAUACUGGAUGCAGUUUGCAGAGACUAUGAACUGAUGU